rnacentral:rRNA from 1 species
GUGAGUAACACGUGGGUAACCUGCCUGUAAGACUGGGAUAACUCCGGGAAACCGGGGCUAAUACCGGAUGCUUGUUUGAACCGCAUGGUUCAAACAUAAAAGGUGGCUUCGGCUACCACUUACAGAUGGACCCGCGGCGCAUUAGCUAGUUGGUGAGGUAACGGCUCACCAAGGCAACGAUGCGUAGCCGACCUGAGAGGGUGAUCGGCCACACUGGGACUGAGACACGGCCCAGACUCCUACGGGAGGCAGCAGUAGGGAAUCUUCCGCAAUGGACGAAAGUCUGACGGAGCAACGCCGCGUGAGUGAUGAAGGUUUUCGGAUCGUAAAGCUCUGUUGUUAGGGAAGAACAAGUACCGUUCGAAUAGGGCGGUACCUUGACGGUACCUAACCAGAAAGCCACGGCUAACUACGUGCCAGCAGCCGCGGUAAUACGUAGGUGGCAAGCGUUGUCCGGAAUUAUUGGGCGUAAAGGGCUCGCAGGCGGUUCCUUAAGUCUGAUGUGAAAGCCCCCGGCUCAACCGGGGAGGGUCAUUGGAAACUGGGGAACUUGAGUGCAGAAGAGGAGAGUGGAAUUCCACGUGUAGCGGUGAAAUGCGUAG